rnacentral:rRNA from 1 species
UACGUAGGGUGCAAGCGUUGUCCGGAAUUAUUGGGCGUAAAGAGCUCGUAGGCGGUCUGUCGCGUCGGCUGUGAAAACCCGGAGCUCAACUCCGGGCCUGCAGUCGAUACGGGCAGACUGGAGUUCGGCAGGGGAGACUGGAAUUCCUGGUGUAGCGGUGAAAUGCGCAGAUAUCAGGAGGAACACCGGUGGCGAAGGCGGUUCUCUGGGCCUUACCUGACGCUGAGGAGCGAAAGCGUGGGGAGCGAACAGGA